ACAUUAAGGGGAACGAACAAAUGUCAGCAGAGUCACCGCUUUUCCCAAUCAACCAACCAUAUAAGCAGACCCCACCCUCCAAAUCGGUCUCAAUCUCAAUAUCUCUGCAAAUCGGUCUCAAUUCUCUCAGUCCGACUUAGUCUCUCUCUCUCUCUCUCUCUCACCUUCCGUUUUCCCCAAAUCUACACGGCGCGCAGAGGUUGAAGAUCGUGUAGAGGAAUAUCUCCAUUCAUUGCUUGAGAACUCCUUCCAUUAAUUUGUAAAACCUUUGUUGUCGUUCUUACGUUUAUUGUUUCACUCCCUCAUAGACUCAGAUAGAGACGCAGAUGAUGAUGAUGCAGCAGCAGCAGCAGUUGGGGUUUGAAGCAAUAGCAUCAAAACCCUCAGACUCAGAAGCAAUGAUUGCCCUUUUGAUUCGUCACCUUCCUGAAGCUAUUCCUCAUGAUACCCUCUCCAGACUCUUCUCCCACUAUGGUGCUUCUUCAGUCCGACCUUGCUCUUCUCCAAGAUUGAGAAACUGUGCGUUUCUGGAUUUCAACAAUGAAGCAUUGGCUUACCAGGCUCAACGUCAGUUAAAUGGGUUGAGGUUUCUUGGUAAAGUGUUAUCAGUGGAGAGAGCUAGUAGUAAUAAGCCAAACCUUGAUAACAAACUUCAAUCAAGUGAAGCUCGAAAUGACAAUGAUUUUGUACCACCAUCAUCUUUGGUCAAGGAUGCUACUCUCACCAAAGAUAAGACUCAGCGUUCAAUACCUUCUGCUGAACCCAUUGCCCCAAGGCUUGGUGUCGACUAUCCAUUCCCUCCUUACCUUGAGUAUGCUUACCCACCACCGGAUGGAAAUAUACUUACCAACAUUGUAAACGCUCUUAUUGCUGUUCCUCGCUUUUAUACACAGGUGUUGCACUUGAUGAACAAAAUGAAUAUCCCAGCUCCAUUUCGUAUGGCUCUCCCCACUCCACCCCUUCCUCCUUUGGUACCUGCACCGCCACCACCACCACCUCCCGUAUCUGCAAAGCCUCAUGCGGCAGAUCUGUCCAGUGAUGAGUCAGAAAUGGAAUCUUCAGAUGAGGAAAUUGAUGUAAAAGCCUAUUCUGUUGGAGCUUCAGCAGUAAAAAAAUCUGGUCGAAAGCGUCUCAGGCAAGAAGCAAUUGUGGGCCCUGCAGUUGAUAAAGAUGUCGCUCAUGAGGCUAUUGGAGUCAAACCUGCCACCUUGGUUCCAAAAGAAAUUCCAAUGAUUAAAAAGAAGAACCCUGUGUUACAGAUCAAAAUUGCUCCAAAAAUGAUUCAGAAUGAACAUAGGGAUGAAAGCACAGCAGAAGAAUUAGAGGAGCCUGACAAAGAAGGUUCAGAUAUUAAAUCCUAUGCAACCCCAGAAGAAUUAGAGAGUGGAAAGUUGCCUCCAGAGGAAAUUUUAUCGCUACCAAUGUUUAAGAAUUAUGCAGCUGGGAAUCCUGCGUCAGUGUUGUAUAUAAAGAACUUGGCAAAGGACGUGAUUGCUGACGACUUCUACUUCAUAUUUGGAUCAUUAUUUGGAAGCAUUGAUGCAGCUAAAUCUGGUCUUAGCGUAAAGCUUAUGCAGGAAGGCAGAAUGAGAGGUCAAGCUUUUGUGACAUUUCCAUCAGCCGAAGUUGCCCAUCAUGCAUUGAAUCUAGUCAAUGGAUAUGUCUUCAAAGGCAAGCCAAUGAUAAUCCAGUUUGGUCGGAAUCCAGCAGCUACGAAAGCAAACUAAAUAAAUGUGCUGCAAGUGGAGUAAGCUCCUUAUACCACUGCUCCAUGGUUUGUUCUGUGUGGAUUGUUAAGCUAGCUGGAAGAAAAUCCACCUACCAGCUGGUAUCAAUAAUGUUGUGGGUUGAGCAUGGGCUUAAGUUUUUAUAACAUGAUCAUUUGCUCCUCAGUUGGCAAUAUGAACAACUGAUAUGUGGUUCAAAUCAUGGCACGUUCUUGACCAAUGGUUUGCAGAGGAUCUGCUGAUGCUGUAGACCACAAGAAACAGAGCUUUUGGAAAACAAAUUGCAUUUUCAAAACUUGUUUGGUGGAAGUAGUUGCAUCCUGUGGCCGUGGAAGAGAACAAUGUCAACAAUUCUACCAAUGGGGCAGCUAAGUUGGACAGAAUCCUGCUACAAAGGACUUUGAAGAUACAUAUCUAGGUGUUUUCAAUGUUUUAUUCUUAUAUCAUCGUUGAAGUGUAACAGUCACUGUUGUCAACUCUAAGCUUCCUUCACAGGAAUCCAGACUGUUUCAUUAAUCUGAAUACAAGAAAGCGAUGGAAUGAUAGAACAUUUCAAUGGGCUUCAGAUCAAAUGAGACAUAACCAAGCAAAACUGAAGUUGAAUCUCUUAUUCCUUACAACAGUAUGAUUGUUGAUGCUGUGGGGUUAUAAACCGAGGCAUUAGCUCAAGAUAGCACACAGACGCAAAAGGAAAUAUGGCGUUGCAACGAGAUGUAUUAACUCUGUGUUUUAAGGAAUUAUAGCUUUUAACUAAAUCUACUCGUCUUCGUUCGCUCA